rnacentral:rRNA from 1 species
GGGGGAAUUUUCCGCAAUGGGGCGAAUGCNNCUGACGGAGCAACNNGCCGCGUGAGGGGAGGAAGGCCUGUGGGUUGUAAACCUCUUUUCUCAGGGAAGAAGUUCUGACGGUACCUGAGGAAUCAGCAUCGGCUAACUCCGUGCCAGCAGCCGCGGUAAGACGGAGGAUGCAAGCGUUAUCCGGAAUUAUUGGGCGUAAAGCGUCCGUAGGCGGUUCAGAAAGUCUGCUGUUAAAGCUCACAGCUCAACUGUGAAUCGGCAGUGGAAACUUCUGGACUAGAGAGUGGUAGGGGUAGAGGGAAUUCCUAGUGUAGCGGUGAAAUGCGUAGAUAUUAGGAAGAACACCAGUGGCGAAGGCGCUCUACUGGGCCAUUACUGACGCUGAUGGGCGAAAGCUAGGGGAGCGAAAGGGAUUAGAUACCCCUGUAGUCCUAGCUGUAAACGAUGGACACUAGGUGUUGGCCGUAUCGACCCGGUCAGUAUCGAAGCAAACGCGUUAA